rnacentral:miRNA from 1 species
UCAAUGAUUAAAGACCUAUU